rnacentral:rRNA from 1 species
CAGCGACUUAUAUUCUGUAGCAAGGUUAACCGUAUAGGGGAGCCGCAGGGAAACCGAGUCUUAACUGGGCGUUAAGUUGCAGGGUAUAGACCCGAAACCCGGUGAUCUAGCCAUGGGCAGGUUGAAGGUUGGGUAACACUAACUGGAGGACCGAACCGACUAAUGUUGAAAAAUUAGCGGAUGACUUGUGGCUGGGGGUGAAAGGCCAAUCAAACCGGGAGAUAGCUGGUUCUCCCCGAAAGCUAUUUAGGUAGCGCCUCGUGAAUUCAUCUUCGGGGUAGAGCACUGUUUCGGCUAGGGGGUCAUCCCGACUUACCAACCGAUGCAAACUACGAAUACCGAAGAAUGUUAUCACGGGAGACACACGGCGGGUGCUAACGUCCGUCGUGAAGAGGGAAACAACCCAGACCGCCAGCUAAGGUCCCA